GGGCGAGUAGCGUAGUGGUCAGCGUGUUCCUGAGCGUAAUCAGCGUUGUAUUUCCUCCAGCGUUUCGCUAAAAGUCCCGGGUUCGAAUCCCGGCGCGCCCA